CCCCACCCCCCUAUGGGCACAAGCACUGUUCAUGACACAAACUGUUGACACCCCGCUUGUUGGCAGAGAGAAUGUAGCAGGUUUAAAGCUUAUUUCCUGCAAUUCUACACAUUUUGUCACAGGAAAAUAUUGUCGUUUUAAUGCUCAUUUUCUUGCAGUUAUUUACAAAUUUGAUCAUGUCUAAUGUGUAUUCAUGUGAUAUUUGAGUGACUCAAAAACUACAACAAUAUUUAUGAGCUAAAAAAAAAAGUAAGUAAAAAGACGGCCGUGGGCUGAUUGAUCUGGACACUCCUGACUAGUUAUAAACAUCUCUCUAAUGUGAACAAUGACUAACGGGACAAGAGGAGCUGAUGAUGUCAUACCCCAUUUAGAAAUGUCACCUCGUACAUUCUACUAUUAUCACUUUCAAGACUUAAGUUUAAAGCUGGACUGAGUUCCUUAAAAAAAAAAUAUAUAUAUAUAUACGUAUAUAUAUUUUUUAAAUGGAGAGGGGAGGACCACGUGCUGCCGCUGCGGGGGGGCGGGGGAGGGGGGGGCGCCCCGCCCCGCCCCGCCCCACAGUUUGGGAACCGCUGGUAUAGACGACUACCUAUUGUUUCAAUCAAUCAGCUGUGUUUCAGUACAAUGUCUAUAUGGGGUACAUGUCAAUGAAGCCACAUGUUAAUGUUGUUAGUGUCUUAGUUUGCCCUGCAUUGCAAUAACAACGAUAGAGACCGUUGAAAAUUGGACCAUCCAGACCUUUAUUCAAAGAAAAGCACUGUUGUGAUAUUUAAAAAAGGCAAGAAACAAUGCUUAACCUACUGUACCAGUGAGUGGAUGAGGUGAUGUGCAGCACCAAUACCUACCUACCACUGAGUGGAUGAGGUGAUGUGCAGCACCAAUACCUACCACUGAGUGGAUGAGGUCUCGUGCAGCACCAAUACCUACCACUGAGUGGAUGAGGUGAUGUGCAGCACCAGUACCUACCACUGAGUGGAUGAGGUGUUGUGCAGCACCAAUACCUACCACUGAGUGGAUGAGGUGAUGUGCAGCACCAGUACCUACCACUGAGUGGAUGACGUGAUGUGCAGCACCAAUACCUACCACUGAGUGGAUGAGGUGAUGUGCAGCACCAGUACCUACAACUGAGUGGAUGAGGUGUCGUGCAGCACCAAUACCUACCACUGAGUGGAUGAGGUGAUGUGCAGCACCAAUACCUACCACUGAGUGGAUGAGGUGAUGUGCAGCACCAGUACCUACCACUGAGUGGAUGAGGUGUUGUGCAGCACCAGUACCUACCAGUGAGUGGAUGAGGUGAUGUGCAGAGUUCGUUUUUUGUCUUACCUUGUGAGAGGUAGUGUGUGGUUCAUAUAGCCCAAUGCAGUGGGAUGUGUUCAUCAUAUCUUAAAACAAUUAUAAUAACAAUCAUUUAUAACCGUC